GCUAGCGUUGCUCGGAAUUACUGGGCGUAACGGGCGCGUAGGCGGAUAUUUAAGUUGGUGGUGAAAUCCCGGGGCUCAACCUCGGAAUUGCCUUCAAAACUGGAUAUCUUGAGUUCGGGAGAGGUGAGUGGAACUCCGAGUGUAGAGGUGAAAUUCGUAGAUAUUCGGAAGGAACACCAGUGGCGAAAGCGGCUUCCUGGUCCAGCACCGACGUUCAGGCACGAAAGCGUGGGGAGCAAACAGG
rnacentral:rRNA from 1 species